UUGCUCUUGGUCUGAGCCAUGUCGAUUAGGUUGGUAUUGUCGUCGCCAUUAGUAUUGCCGGCCAGGACCUGGAUGUACAAGUCGUUGCCCCCCGUGAGCUCAUUCCCGUCCAGGU
rnacentral:rRNA from 1 species